rnacentral:rRNA from 1 species
AACGAACGCUGGCGGCAGGCUUAACACAUGCAAGUCGAACGCCCCGCAAGGGGAGUGGCAGACGGGUGAGUAACGCGUGGGAAUCUACCCAGAUCUACGGAACAACAGUUGGAAACGACUGCUAAUACCGUAUACGCCCUACGGGGGAAAGAUUUAUCGGAUUUGGAUGAGCCCGCGUUGGAUUAGCCAGUUGGUGGGGUAAUGGCCUACCAAGGCGACGAUCCAUAGCUGGUCUGAGAGGAUGAUCAGCCACACUGGGACUGAGACACGGCCCAGACUCCUACGGGAGGCAGCAGUGGGGAAUAUUGGACAAUGGGCGCAAGCCUGAUCCAGCCAUGCCGCGUGAGUGAUGAAGGCCUUAGGGUUGUAAAGCUCUUUCACCGAUGAAGAUAAUGACGGUAGUCGGAGAAGAAGCCCCGGCUAACUUCGUGCCAGCCGCCGCAGUAAAAC